UACAGAGGGUGCGAGCGUUGUUCGGAAUUACUGGGCGUAAAGCGCGCGCAGGCGGCUCUUUAAGUCUCGUGGUCAAAUGCCGGGGCUCAACCCCGAGCGUGCCGGGGAUACUGGAGGGCUGGAGACAGGUAGAGGCAAGCGGAAUUCCGGGUGUAGCGGUGGAAUGCGUAGAGAUCCGGAAGAACACCGGUGGCGAAGGCGGUCUGCUGGGCAGUAGCUGACACUGAGGCGCGACAGCGUGGGGAGCAAACAGG
rnacentral:rRNA from 1 species